rnacentral:rRNA from 1 species
GAUGAACGCUGGCGGCGUGCCUAACACAUGCAAGUCGAGCGAACAGACGAGGAGCUUUCUCCUCUGACGUUAGCGGGGGACGGGUGAGUAACACGUGGAUAACCUACCUAUUUUUCUGGGGUAACUUCGGGAAACCGGGGCUAAUACCGGAUAAUAUAUUUAACCGCAUGGUUCAAUAGUUGAAGACGGCUUUGCCGGCACUUAUAGAUGGAUCCGCGCUGCAUUAGCUAGUGGGUAAGGUAGCGGCUGACCAAGGCAACGAUGCGUAGCCGACCUGAGAGGGUGAACGGCCACACUGGAACUGAGACACGGUCCAGACUCCUACGGGAGGCAGCAGCAGGGAGUAUUGCGCAAUGGGCGAAAGCCUGACGGAGCAACGCCGCGUGAGUGAUGAAGGUCUUCGGAUGGUAAAGCUCUGUUAUUAGGGAAGAACAAAUGUGUAAGUAACCAUGCACGUCUUGACGGUAACUAAUCAGAAAGCCCCGGCUAACUACGUG